rnacentral:rRNA from 1 species
ACUCAAAGGAAUAGACGGGGGCCCGCACAAGCGGUGGAGCAUGUGGCUUAAUUCGACGCAACGCGAAGAACCUUACCAGGGCUUGACUGUCACGGAAUCUCGCUGAAAGGCGGGAGUGCCCUUCGGGGAACCGUGAAACAGGUGGUGCAUGGCCGUCGUCAGCUCGUGUCGUGAGAUGUUGGGUUAAGUCCCGCAACGAGCGCAACCCUCAUUGUGUGUUGCCAGCAGUUCGGCUGGGCACUCACACGAAACUGCCUCGGUAACGAGGAGGAAGGUGGGGAUGAUGUCAGGUCCGCAUGCCCCUUACGCCCUGGGCUGCACACAUGCUACAAUGGGGAGGACAAUGGGUUGCAAGACCGCGAGGUGGAGCUAAUCCCCAAAACUCUCCUCAGUUCGGAUUGCAGUCUGCAACUCGACUGCAUGAAUGUCGGAAUCGCUAGUAACCGCAAAUCAGCUACGUUGCGGUGAAUACGUUCUCGGGCCUUGUACACACCGCCCGU